rnacentral:rRNA from 1 species
CGGCAACAGCUCAAAUUUGAAAUCUGGCUCUCGGGCCCGAGUUGUAAUUUGUAGAGGAUACUUUUGAUGCGGUGCCUUCCGAGUUCCCUGGAACGGGACGCCUUAGAGGGUGAGAGCCCCGUACGGUUGGACGCCUAGCCUCUGUAAAGCUCCUUCGAC